rnacentral:rRNA from 1 species
UUAUAAGAGACAGCAGUCGCCGCGGGAAUACGAAGGGUGCAAGCGUUAAUCGGAAUUACUGGGCGUAAAGCGUGCGUAGGCGGUGAGUUAAGUCUGCUGUGAAAUCCCCGGGCUCAACCUGGGAAUGGCAGUGGAUACUGGCUCGCUAGAGUGUGUCAGAGGAUGGUGGAAUUCCCGGUGUAGCGGUGAAAUGCGUAGAGAUCGGGAGGAACAUCAGUGGCGAAGGCGGCCAUCUGGGACAACACUGACGCUGAGGCACGAAAGCGUGGGGAGCAAACAGGAUUAGAUACCCCCGUAGUCCCUGUCUCUUAUAA